UGUCCUUUGCUUCCCUCCGUCCUCGCU
rnacentral:piRNA from 1 species